rnacentral:rRNA from 1 species
UUUUAUGAGAGUUUGAUCCUGGCUCAGGACGAACGCUGGCGGCGUGCCUAAUACAUGCAAGUCGAACGCUUCUUUUUCCACCGGAGCUUGCUCCACCGGAAAAAGAGGAGUUGCUAACGGGUCAGUGUCACGUGGGUAACCUACCCAUCAGAAAGGGAUAACACUUGGAAACAGGUGCUAAUACCGUAUAAAAGUCGAAACCUCAAGGUUUUGAUUUGAAAGGCGCUUUCGGGUGUCGUUGAUGGAUGGACCCGCUGUGCAU